rnacentral:rRNA from 1 species
UACAGAGGUCUCAAGCGUUGUUCGGAUUCAUUGGGCGUAAAGGGUGCGUAGGUGGCGCCGUAAGUCAGGUGUGAAAUUUCGGAGCUUAACUCCGAAACUGCAUUUGAUACUGCGGUGCUUGAGGACUGGAGAGGAGAUUGGAAUUCACGGUGUAGCAGUGAAAUGCGUAGAUAUCGUGAGGAAGACCAGUGGCGAAGGCGGAUCUCUGGACAGUUCCUGACACUGAGGCACGAAGGCUAGGGAAGCAAACGGG